AAGUGUUUGUGCGCUUUCAGGAUAUAAAAGAUAAAGACAUAUAAACUCUUUACUCUCUAAACACAGAUAUAAUCAGGAAAAUUCGUCAGUGCAUUCUCAGUCGAUUUAAAGCCUCCUCGAGGAUCUUCGGUCUGUGUUUCAGUCUUUGAAUCUGUCGAUCGGUUUGAUUGUGACUACGUUCUCACACAGCGGAGCAGAUUACAAUAAUAUCCGCCGACCGUCUUCAGAAACUCCCUUUUUUGCCUAAUUUUACGGCAGUAUGAAAAGCAUCACAUUGUACUUUGUGUUCUUAUUCUAUAUGGAAGGUGUGUUUGGUGAAACGGUGUCAGUAACUGUGGGAGAGUCUGGCACUCUGUCCCCUAGUCUUACUGAAAUAAAGAAAGAUGAUGUGUUCGACUGGAGGUUCGGAGACAUUCUUAUAGCUAGAGUAAGAAAUAACAAUAUCCCCUCAACGUAUGAUGAUGCUCUUGAUGGGAAAUUCAGAGGCAGACUGCAGCUGAAUGGUCAGACAGGAGAUCUCACCAUCACAGACAUCAAAACCACAGACAGUGGUGUUUAUGAAAUAACCAACAGCAUCAACACCUUUAGGAAGACAUUCACUGUCACUGUAUGAGCUUCUGUGACAGGCGAUGACUGACGCUGAUUCCUGAAAAAAUAGAAAGCUUGAGGACACUUCCAGCAGCUUCCUUACAAACCAUUAUUCAUAACAUUUGUAUAACAUUAUCAUUAUUCAAAAUAAAUGUCAUAUUUAUCCUCUUGUGAACUAUUUA
ensembl:lncRNA